GCUCUUUCUCUCCUUAGUUAGGCCUGACACAUGCGACUGCUUUUCUGUCACAUCGAUUUUUCUGUUCCUGCAGAUUCAAAGCCAGGGUUGAGUCCUCCUAACAGGGCGAGUUCUCUGACAAGGAAAUUUUGCAAGCGAAUUUUACAGCUGGAGUCAAGCCUGGCAGUGAGGGCCAGAGGGGAACUGUCGCAAUCCGCUGGGUGUUUGAAAAAUGCCUCUAAUGUGUGUGGGCUAGACUACAUUUUGUUUUUCUGUGGGUAUGCUCACUUAACAAGGACAGUCUUUGAGGAACUAUCAAAAACUGCUUGUCAUCUUUCCAAAUCAUCUCUCUCUGCAGUGACCAUGACUUAAUCCUGAAGGAAAACAAGGAUGAUGUUUCACAUGUGACCUCAGCUCCAGCCCAGUUCUUCACUCUGCUUCUAUUAUCAGUCAGCCAUGCUACUGGCUCGAACCCAGAUGCUCCUCAUAAGGUGGACAUUUCUCUGCUGGACACAGCUGGCUGUUACUGGUGGUCACCAGUUUGGAGCUACAAUUCUUCCUUGGGUUUUCCAUACCUGGUGGAGAACAAAAUUUUCCUGUGAUUCUCUGUAGCACCAGGUGUAACUUUCAUCAAGAUUUAUCAAAGACUUGGGAUUAUUAGCUAUAUGUUUGCCCUUGAAGAAGGUGAACCACGGAGCUCUCACAAAGCACACUCUAUAUAGCCCCUGGUUUUCUUCUUGGGGCAAGCACAGUUCACGGCUCUAGUGAACUUGCGGCCUAAGACUCACUAGGUCAAGGCAGAGAAAGACAUUUACCCUCACACCAAGCUCAUGUCUACAUAAUUCUAUCCCCAAACCUACUUUUUUUCUAGGUAAUUAUUCUCUGAGAUGCAAGAGUAAUUAUGUUAAUAUGUAACGACCCAAUGUCAGUAAUUUCCUGAAGUGUGGGUUUUUCAGUUUCAGGAAAUGUUACGUAAAGGCCCUUCUAUCAGGAUGGGUUCUUGCAGGAACUAACAGAACACAACUGUGGUUACCUUCAACAGAAAAGAAAGUUGUUGGAAGGAGGGUAGGUGGCUCCCAGAUUCAGGUUUAGGGGACAGACAGUGACCUGCAGUGGUUAAGUCCAAUUGCAGCUGGGAUCUGGCUAAGAAGGUGCCCCUGGCACAGCCACCUCUGGACACUUGUGUAGGCCGUCACUGCCAGACUCUCUAUUCCUUUUACCUUUAGACCUGAAAUUAACAUUGUGUAAUAGAAACUUCCACAACAAUAAAAGUGUAUCUUUACUGUCAACAAGUAGCCACUAGCCACAUAUGGCUAUUGAGCAUUUGAAAUGUACCUGAAGAACUGAAUAUUUACUCUGAUUUAAUUUUAAUUAAAAUUAAUUUUAAUUAAAAUGCA